rnacentral:sRNA from 1 species
CAGCCAGCGCCCCAUUUUUCCUGCAGCACCCUGAUCCGCACUCCCUGAGGGGCUCCCACUGUCCGCGGUGUGAGGAUGUCCCUGGAUAGUCCACUGUGUGCAGAGGCAUGGGAGUUGUCAUGUCGAUAACAUGCUAGACCUCAGUGUCCUUGAGGGAUGCCGCCUUGGGUCUGGAGACUGUUAGAGGAAACCCCAAGAGGUGCAAGCACUGAGCCUCUCAGGACAAUGACCUGGGAUUCCACCUCCCCUGGAGGGGCCUCCUCAUGGUAAGCGAAUGCCAAGAGGUUAAGUCGGCCUGUGUUUCCGAGGUGGAAAUUCGAAGCCGCUGGCUUGAUUUGUCUUCUCUUUUAGAUUGUUUGGGGGUUGAUCACAGACCAAGAGUGAUGAGUGAUGUCACCCUGUGAUGCAUGGCUGGACCUUCUUGCCCCUAUUGUCUCAGCACAACAUUAAUCGACUUUUCCCUCAGCGUGGGUGGGCAGAGGAAAAGCCCUGUGGCUCUGGGGACUUGGGAUCCAGAGUUGAAGACCCUUCAGCUGGCUCUGCCCUGCCAGUGCCACAGAGUGCCAUGGCCCAGGAAGACUGGUUUUCUUCCAUCUAGGCCAGGCCAUCCAGUGGCCAUCCUUCGUGUCCUCCCACCUCCUUCUGGUGUGACUUCUGAAAACCAAGAAUUUGUUCCUGUUGACUUUUUCUGUGCUAUGGACCAUUGUCCUCUGACCCACUCAAUAAAUCUUGAAACAUGC